rnacentral:rRNA from 1 species
UACAGAGGUCUCAAGCGUUGUUCGGAUUCAUUGGGCGUAAAGGGUGCGUAGGCGGCGCGGUAAGUCGGAUGUGAAAUCUCGGAGCUUAACUUCGAAACUGCAUUCGAUACUGCCGUGCUUGAGGACUGGAGAGGAGACUGGAAUUUACGGUGUAGCGGUGAAAUGCGUAGAUAUCGUAAGGAAGACCAGUGGCGAAGGCGGGUCUCUGGACAGUUCCUGACGCUGAGACGCGAAAGCGUGGGGAGCAAACGGG